GGCUAGUCUAAGCGCGGGACUGCCAUCGCUUUCAAAUCUACAGAACACAAAGGCAUCAGGUACAAGUAGGCACCUCACCGGUGAUGAAUGUACAACCGAGAGGAGAAACAGAACGGCUUUUGAGUCACUGUGUUCAUUAGUACCUGGUUAGGACUGCGUCCAACCUGAUGGCAAAUAUGAAAUAUCAAAGUGCUUGUCAGCACUCCUGAAUGGGACAAAGAAAGGCUGCAUUAAUGAUUAACUGUGCUAAAAGCCCCGUCUUUUGUAUUCCCAUGGUGCCUGGGCUAUCUGGCUGCCAUGUGACAUGCUCGGGCCCUUUUCUAGCAGAUUGAGGAAAGCUAGUGAGCAAACACAGGUGCUUAGGAGUCAGCACGGCUGUCAGGGGCAACCACAAACAACACCAGCUAUGCCUGGUUAAAUGACCUCCUCUGUUUGCUUCCAUUGCUGCUUCCUGGGGAUCGUACAUUUCAAGCCCAGUGUCUCCUGCCCCCAUUCUCAGCUAUUCGCACGCAGUGUUGAAAAACCAGGCAGAGCCACUUCUUUGAUGCAACAGCAUUCGGUGGUCAAACGUAGGGACAGAGUAAACUAAUUAAAAGUGUUCAAGUCUUUAGCUGCCAAAACAAAACACAUUUAUUUUUUCUCAAGUGGGUCUAUUUUCUUGACCCUGUGUCAAACACAAAGGAGCCAUUCAUUUUGAAAUAAGCAUUUGGAAAUCUGUGUGUGUGGAAGAAAGCAAAAUGCAAGCACUUUCACUAUUAAUAGUUAGCAAAUAAGAAAAGUUUAAAAGAAGGUUAUUUGCAGCUUUGAAACUCCAGACAUGCCUCGGCCUGAAUGCUAGUUUCCUGGCUAUGAAUGUUACACAGUAGCAAGACAAGGGUUCUCUGUUGUGGAAAGUACAAAGUCCCCCUAGCGGAAUAGUGAACUUUCUACAUGGCACAAGUCAGACUUUUAUUGUUCAGAUAUUUAUAUUUGUAUAUUACAGCUCUGUGAGGAAGGUUAAGAGCAGUGUCAGCACAGCAUAUGACACUGGGGCCUAUUGUAAUGUCUAAACGAUGUCUUAAUACCACGUUCCUGAAAUGACACUUAAUUAUUGUAUAUUGUAUAUGCUAAUAGCAGGUGAAUAAAUACCCCCGUGUGAAAAGGCACAGUCAGAUUCAUAUAGAGUUGAAGAGUGGUGGUAUUUAGAUCAGCCACUGUUGAGAUCAUUAAAAUAGACAGCUUGCUUAAAUAAAGGAAUAAGCUUAUUUAAGAGGUAUUGCUUUGCCUGUCUACUCCUUUUACAUCGUUUCUUCUUCAACAAUGACUUCAGCUUUUGAUAAUGAUUGCUACAUAGACUAAUAGGGAUUGUUUUCAACAAAGUCUACUGACGCAACAUGAUAUAAGACUAUAAUGUUAUAAGAGGAUCACUCUCAAAAGCAAAAUCAAACCUAGAGCUACGGCCAGGUCUCUUAUUUGAGCACACAAGACUGUUAGACUGCAGCUUUAUUGCAUAGUUCUUGUCACUGCAAAAAAGUCUCAUCCAUUGUCUGCAAAAACUCCUAGCAGAUUUCAGGCAAUGACGAAAAGAAUAAAAAGACCAAUUGAAAACUGUGAUAAUCUCAAAGGCUCUUUGAAGUUCUGCAUACAAUGCAACGUUUUUACAGAGCAGGAGCACUUAAAAAGGCUGUAGACUGAAUGAACUUGGGUCUUUUGUAAGAUCUGUCCCAACAACACAGUCCUCUGAACUAUGGAAAACAAACAAAUAUUCAUAAUAUGCAAUCGGCUAGCUGUGAUGUUUGGUGCUGCUUGCAAGCGUAAAGUCAAUAUGUAUUUCAAUUACAUUAGUUUACAAUAGAAUCAGUCGACUUGCUAAAAUAUCAGCCUAAGGCUAUGACUUUACACCACCUGUCUUUUAUUUGUACUUUUUAAGCUAUCUUGACUUACUAUCCUGUACUAAUGAAAUAAAGAUGUUAAAAUGAACUUU